GAGUUUGACUGGGGCAGUAAUGUCAAAGUGAAGAAAUUCAUGAAGUGGUAAACGGUGGGAGUAACUAUGAAUCUCUUAAGGUAUCCAAAUGCCUCAUCAUCUUAAUGACGUGCAUGAAUGAAU
rnacentral:ncRNA from 1 species